CUCCGACAUAGCGUUAAACUAUGCUUGCAGAACUUGCAUACAGGUGCUGCACGGCUGUCGUCAGCUCGUGUCGUGAGAUGUUGGGUUAAGUCCCGCAACGAGCGCAACCCUCGUCCUUAGUUGCUAACAGUUCGGCUGAGAACUCUAAGGAGACUGCCUACGCAAGUAGGAGGAAGGUGAGGAUGACGUCAAGUCAUCAUGGCCCUUACGUCCAGGGCUACACACGUGCUACAAUGGGGUAUACAAAGAGCAGCAAUACGGUGACGUGGAGCAAAUCUCAAAAAUGCCUCCCAGUUCGGAUUGUAGUCUGCAACUCGACUACAUGAAGUUGGAAUCGCUAGUAAUCGUAGAUCAGCUAUGCUACGGUGAAUACGAA
rnacentral:rRNA from 1 species